CACUGCAUUAAUAAUUUUGAGCGACUUGUCAACAAUACAAUUAUUUCGCUUGGCUUUCAACUGACAAAGGCCAUAUUCGCUAGAAUACUGUUGUUUAGUAAUACUGUAAUUUGACAUCCGUAAUUAGUACAAUUUCUAACGCUGAAUCGAACGGUGGUAUUUUUAUCCUCAAUAGGUCUACGUACUGCGAGCGAAUUAUCAACAAUACAAUUUCGCUUGAUUUUCAAAAGCAAUAAAUCGCUAGAAUACUUGUGUUUAGUAAUACACUUGACAUCCGUAAGUACAAUUUCUUACGCUGAAUCGUA